GGCGCUUCACACCCACCUAGAGGAGCCUGUUCUAGAACCGAUGACCCCCGUUCAACCUCACCUUCUCUUGUUCUCCCCGCCUAUAUACCGCCGUCGUCAGCCCACCCUGUGAAGGCCCAGUAGUGAGCAGAAUUGGCAAAGCCCAAAACGUCAGGCCGAGGUGUAGCGAAUGAGAAGGGAAGAAAUGGGCUACAAUUGCUUAAACAGCUAAAACGAAUUGUAACGCUGAAAGUGCAGACAUGAAGGAGGAUUUAGAAGUAAGGGGGCAAAUAGAGUGUCCCCCUGAAAUGGUUCUGAAGCGUGCACACACCGCCCGUCACUCUCCCCAAGUUAGAACAUUAUAUAAUAACUAAACACUUAGCCCUACAAAGGGGAGGCAAGUCGUAACAUGGUAAGUGUACCGGAAGGUGCACUUGGAAGAAAC
rnacentral:rRNA from 1 species